rnacentral:rRNA from 1 species
GUAGGGGGCAAGCGUUAUCCGGAUUUACUGGGUGUAAAGGGAGCGUAGACGGUGAUGCAAGUCAGAAGUGAAAGCCCGGGGCUCAACUCCGGGACUGCUUUUGAAACUGUGUGACUGGAGUGAAGGAGAGGUAAGCGGAAUUCCUGGUGUAGCGGUGAAAUGCGUAGAUAUCAGGAGGAACGCCAGUGGCGAAGGCGGCUUACUGGACUGUAACUGACGUUGAGGCUCGAAAGCGUGGGGAGCAAA